AGAAGCGCUAUCCGAGAACCCUAUGAUGCUCGAAAAUAGCUGCAAGAGAAGUACAGCAACUUCAGCAAUUACCAACAAUACAUGUUUUCUAUAAAGCAAGCUAUGAACCAUCUUGUUUAAUUCUCUUAGAGGUUCAUAAGAAAGCCUCACGUGUGAAAUAAAUGCACUCAAAGACGCUUCACAAGUAGCACUUUGGAGCUUCAGAUGUGAAAUGGAUCAUUCCUCAAUCUGUAAUAAACCCUUCUGUGAAGCUCUUCAAUCAAACCUGAGAAGUCAAGAACUCAACCUCUUUGAAAGUUAGUAACAGCAGACUGGAC
rnacentral:lncRNA from 1 species